UGGGGAAUAUUGGACAAUGGGCGAAAGCCUGAUCCAGCCAUGCCGCGUGUGUGAAGAAGGUCUUCGGAUUGUAAAGCACUUUAAGUUGGGAGGAAGGGCAGUUACCUAAUACGUGAUUGUUUUGACGUUACCGACAGAAUAAGCACCGGCUAACUCUGUGCCAGCAGCCGCGGUAAUACAGAGGGUGCAAGCGUUAAUCGGAAUUACUGGGCGUAAAGCGCGCGUAGGUGGUUUGUUAAGUUGGAUGUGAAAUCCCCGGGCUCAACCUGGGAACUGCAUUCAAAACUGACUGACUAGAGUAUGGUAGAGGGUGGUGGAAUUUCCUGUGUAGCGGUGAAAUGCGUAGAUAUAGGAAGGAACACCAGUGGCGAAGGCGACCACCUGGACUGAUACUGACACUGAGGUGCGAAAGCGUGGGGAGCAAACAGGAUUAGAUACCCCCGUAGUCCCUGAGCGGGCUGGCAAGGCGCAU
rnacentral:rRNA from 1 species